rnacentral:lncRNA from 1 species
GCAGGGGAAGAAGUUUAGCUUUGGGAAGAUUCUCUUCAGCAACACCACCAUUUUCCUGAAAUUUGAAGGAGAUGAAAAAGCUUGUGAACCCUCCCAGUCUUUCAAUAUUACUUGGUACUUAAGGUACUCUGACUGCUACAAUGAAGUCUUCAACUUUGGGGAUGAACAAGCGGAUAACUAUUUUGGGACUACAGCUGAAGAGCAUCCAGGUUGGUCAGGAUACUAUGCAACUUCUUCUCUCUUUCGAAACUGCUCUCAGCUCUUCAGGCCUCAGAUUUUCUAUAAAGAUUUUGUUCAUCCAGAGCCCCUCUCACCUGAGAAACAAGAGGGCGUAAAAGAUAAGAAGG